rnacentral:rRNA from 1 species
UAGGGAAUCUUCGGCAAUGGACGGAAGUCUGACCGAGCAACGCCGCGUGAGUGAAGAAGGUUUUCGGAUCGUAAAGCUCUGUUGUUAGAGAAGAACGUUGGUAGGAGUGGAAAAUCUACCAAGUGACGGUAACUAACCAGAAAGGGACGGCUAACUACGUGCCAGCAGCCGCGGUAAUACGUAGGCCCCGAGCGUUGUCCGGAUUUAUUGGGCGUAAAGCGAGCGCAGGCGGUUCUUUAAGUCUGAAGUUAAAGGCAGUGGCUUAACCAUUGUACGCUUUGGAAACUGGAGGACUUGAGUGCAGAAGGGGAGAGUGGAAUUCCAUGUGUAGCGGUGAAAUGCGUAGAUAUAUGGAGGAACACCGGUGGCGAAAGCGGCUCUCUGGUCUGUAACUGACGCUGAGGCUCGAAAGCGUGGGGAGCAAACAGGAUUAGAUACCCUGGUAGUCCACGCCGUAAACGAUGAGUGCUAGGUGUUAGGCCCUUUCCGGGGCUUAGUGCCGCAGCUAACGCAUUAAGCACUCCGCCUGGGGAGUACGACCGCAAGGUUG